UGGGAAAGGAAUUAAAGCUAUCCUUUUGUAAUAGGAACUUUGUUCUAUUUGACCUUUCAACAUAUUUAUGUAUUAGACAAGACAGAGGCUUGAGACAAGCCUGAGACAAGCUUAAGACAAUGCUCUACUUCAAAGCAUCAUCACCAUAGUCGUCUGUUUCAGGGGAAGGAUGUGGGUAGUGGUGAGCAGAGACAACCUGGGAUAGAUGCAGAAGAAAAAAUUCAGGACAAGCUGUGUAGAAUCAACAGUCUUUACAGAAAACAAUAGGCAGAGGUCUGUGCAGGAAAAUGUUCCUGAGUCUACUGCAGAUAGCCGUAGCCUGGGGUCUUUUGUUCAGAGAUGGGGCUCUAGUUCUUGGGAUCUAAGUUAUUUGACAUAAUUACUUUAGCUGUUAUCUAU
rnacentral:lncRNA from 10 species